rnacentral:rRNA from 1 species
GACGAACGCUGGCGGCGUGCCUAAUACAUGCAAGUAGAACGCACAGUUUAUACCGUAGCUUGCUACACCAUAGACUGUGAGUUGCGAACGGGUGAGUAACGCGUAGGUAACCUGCCUGGUAGCGGGGGAUAACUAUUGGAAACGAUAGCUAAUACCGCAUAAUAUUAAUUAUUGCAUGAUAAUUAAUUGAAAGGUGCAAUUGCACCACUACCAGAUGGACCUGCGUUGUAUUAGCUAGUAGGUGAGGUAACGGCUCACCUAGGCGACGAUACAUAGCCGACCUGAGAGGGUGAUCGGCCACACUGGGACUGAGACACGGCCCAGACUCCUACGGGAGGCAGCAGUAGGGAAGCUUCGGCAAGGGACGAAAGUCUGACCGAGCAACGCCGCGUGAGUGAAGAAGGGUUUCGGAUCGUAAAGCUCUGUUGUAAGAGCAGAAAGGGUGUGAGAGUGGAAAGUUCACACUGUGACGGUAUCUGACCAGAAAGGGACGGCUAACUACGUG